UAGGGAAUCUUCGGCAAUGGGGGCAACCCUGACCGAGCAACGCCGCGUGAGUGAAGAAGGUUUUCGGAUCGUAAAGCUCUGUUGUAAGAGAAGAACGUGUGUGAGAGUGGAAAGUUCACACAGUGACGGUAACUUACCAAAAAGGGACGGCCAACUACGUGCCAGCAGCCGCGGUAAUACGUAGGUCCCGAGCGUUGUCCGGAUUUAUUGGGCGUAAAGCGAGCGCAGGCGGUUUAAUAAGUCUGAAGUUAAAGGCAGUGGCUUAACCAUUGUUCGCUUUGGAAACUGUUAAACUUGAGUGCAGAAGGGGAGAGUGGAAUUCCAUGUGUAGCGGUGAAAUGCGUAGAUAUAUGGAGGAACACCGGUGGCGAAAGCGGCUCUCUGGUCUGUAACUGACGCUGAGGCUCGAAAGCGUGGGGAGCAAACAGG
rnacentral:rRNA from 1 species